rnacentral:rRNA from 1 species
UACGAAGGGGGCUAGCGUUGUUCGGAAUCACUGGGCGUAAAGGGCGCGUAGGCGGCUUUGUAAGUCGGGGGUGAAAGCCUGUGGCUCAACCACAGAAUUGCCUUCGAUACUGCAUGGCUUGAGACCGGAAGAGGUAAGUGGAACUGCGAGUGUAGAGGUGAAAUUCGUAGAUAUUCGCAAGAACACCAGUGGCGAGGGCGGCUCACUGGCCCGGUACUGACGCUGAGGUGCGAAAGCGUGGGGAGCAAACAGG